UACGGAGGGUGCGAGCGUUGUCCGGAAUCACUGGGCGUAAAGGGCGCGUAGGCGGUGGCCUAAGCGUGCGGUGAAAGCCCGGGGCUCAACCCCGGGUCGGCCGUGCGAACUGGGUCACUCGAGCACACUAGAGGCGAGUGGAAUUCCGGGUGUAGCGGUGGAAUGCGUAGAGAUCCGGAAGAACACCAGUGGCGAAGGCGGCUCGCUGGGGUGUAGCUGACGCUGAGACGCGAGAGCGUGGGUAGCAAACAGG
rnacentral:rRNA from 1 species